UAAUACGUAGGAGGCGAGCGUUGUCCGGAUUUACUGGGUAUAAAGGGUCCGCAGGCGGGUUGACAAGUCGGUGGUGAAAUCCUUCAGCUUAACUGAAGAGCUGCCGUCGAUACUGUUAAUCUUGAAUACAGGAGAGGGUAACGGAAUUCCAGGUGUAGCGGUGAAAUGCUUAGAUAUCUGGAAGAACACCGGUAGCGAAGGCUGUUGCCUGGCCUGGUAUUGACGCUCAGGGACGAAAGCGUGGGGAUCAAACAGGAUUAGAUACCCUGGUAGUCCACGCUGUAAACGAUGGAUACUCGGUGUUGGCCUGAAAGGGUCGGUGCCUAAGCAAACGCAGUAAGUAUCCCACCUGGGAAGUACGAUCGCAAGGUUGAAACUUAAAUGAAUUGACGG
rnacentral:rRNA from 1 species